rnacentral:tRNA from 1 species
GCAUCUGUGGCCGAGAGGCCGAAGGCAGCGGACUCAUUAAUCCGCCAUCUUAGUAAGGACGUCGCUGGUUCGAAUCCAGCCAGAUGCA